GGGGAAUAUUGGACAAUGGGGGAAACCCUGAUCCAGCAAUGCUGCGUGAGUGAAGAAGGCCUUAGGGUUGUAAAGCUCUUUCGCCCGCGAAGAUAAUGACGGUAGCGGGAGAAGAAGCCCCGGCUAACUCCGUGCCAGCAGCCGCGGUAAUACGGAGGGGGCUAGCGUUGUUCGGAAUUACUGGGCGUAAAGCGUACGUAGGCGGAUGCGCAAGUUGGGGGUGAAAUCCCGGGGCUUAACCUCGGAAUUGCCCUCAAAACUGCACGUCUUGAGACCGAUAGAGGUAAGGGGAUUUCCUAGUGUAGAGGGGAAAUUCGUAGAUAUUAGGAAGAUCACCAGUGGCGAAGGCGCCUUACUGGCU
rnacentral:rRNA from 1 species